UCUCUUUUUGUGGCAAAAAAA
ensembl:piRNA 21ur-2606 ncRNA